AUGAUCCUCUAUGUAUCCUGCAUAAAGGACAGGGUCUUUCUGGCAGAAAAACCAUUAAAAGUUUUAUUUGCAGUAAGAGAAGCAUGCCUUCUUAUUAUCAAACAGGUGCACGGCCCCCUUGCGGGAGUGGUCACCUAUCACCCGCAUCCCCGUGUGUCACGGUGUUGCCACACACCAUUAACGCAUCAAAACGGAAAAGGAAAUGUAAGCAGUGUUUGCCGUCCAAAGUUCACGUCAACAACUCCUUAUUAUGAAGGCACUUCUGAGCCUUUCCUCCUGCAUCUGGGAGCUGCCAGCAACCCAGUUCCAGGAGAGAAAAUAGCUCGACACCUCCUGCAGCCCGUGGAGUCCUCUUGUUGGGACAAGGUCCCCCCAGGAGAAAGGAACCCCCAGCAGGGUCAGGGACCACGGACCCCGGAGCUGUGGACCACACCAGCCCAAAGCCACUGCAUGCCCCACACUGGGGCUGUGGAUCACACCAGCCCACGGCCACUGCAUGCCCCAGACCAACACGAGAAGAGUGCAGACCAACAACAUCUUCGUCUACGGUAGGUGCCAUCGUUAUCGUUCCUAAGAGAGCCCAUGGCCACUUCUACCAGGUGCCCUCCACUCUUCCCCUGCCCCAGCUGGUCCCCCUGUGACAGCCGUGUCUCUGAGAACGGGGUGUGGAGCCAGGGGGAAAACACAAAAUAAACCACCUGCUACUAGAAACAGCCUCGCUGUCCUCAGGGAGCCGGUCCCGGGGCCAGCCUCGCUGUCCUCAAGGAGUCGAUCCCGGGGCCAACCUCGCUGGACUCAGAAAGUCGGUUCCAGGACCCCAUGGACACCAAAUCCAGGCACAUUCAAACCGCACAGGUGGACCUGCUGAACCUGCGUGUACAAAGACUCGGCCCUCCGACACGCGUUUCACAUGGCAGGCAUGGCAGGAACACUGUAUUUUCUGCGUGUACAAAGAAUCAGCCCUCCGACAUGAGUUUCACGUAGCAGAACACUGUAUUUUCUCCCUGAGUUUGGUUGAAAAAAUCCACCUAUAAGUUGACCCUCAAAGCUCAAGCUUGUGUUGGACAAGAGUCAACUGUAUGCAAUUGACACUGAUUCCUACCAACAAUAUCCAGAUCUUACCAUGACCAGCACGAUAAACAGAAUGAGCAAAAUUUAAAAACUAAAGCAGAGUUUUUUCCUGCGAGUUGGUGCACUGCGUAUCCCCUGUGGGAAAGACCACACUGGCUGCUGACCAAACUCCACCGGCCUCUUCCUCCGUCCUGAGGGCAUCUUCCUCCAUCCUGACAGCAGCCUGGGCUCACCUCAGUCCCAGGGCAGGGAGAGGGGGCGCACUGUGCACCCUCCCAGCUCUCCUCCGCCCCUUCCCUCAGGCUGGCCCAAGAGCAGCCUGGACACUCACUUGCUGGGGACACCAAGUUGCCCCUCCUCCGCCCACAGCCUCAGGCCACCUGUCUCAUCUGUGACUGAGAAAUAGAGCAGCAGCUGGAGGCGGGAGGCGGGACACGCUGGGAUCUACCCAUGGCCAGGCCGAGCUGCUGGGAUCACUCAAACUUCACUUUCCUCACUCGCUCUACCAAAUAGACUAGAAUAAAAUAUGUCGCAUCCUCCUUUCCACACACUCCCAAGCCUCCCAUCCCACUUCCCGGCGCUGACCCCUUAAGAACACUUUGUGCAUCUUUCCAGGUAUUUUCUAUCCUCCUCAUGCACAGAACCACAUUCAGAGUGAAUUUUUCUUUUCUUUUUUUAACAGAAAUGGCACCAGGGCAGAUGAUGAUUUUUUUGUACCAUUUCUUUACUUUCUUGGGCAUUUUCCGCACCAGGACAGAUGGGCUCUGCUCUCCUUCCUCCCCGCCCAAAGCUGCCUCACAGCAGCCACACACGGAGCCGUAAACCCUCACAAGACUGUGGGUGUCUUGGGGUGCCCCACGUCCCCAAAGACCAAGGGUCACAGAUCCACAUUGUCCAACAACACUUCAGACAUGGCCUCGAGCCAGG
rnacentral:lncRNA from 1 species